rnacentral:rRNA from 1 species
UACGGAGGGGGCUAGCGUUGUUCGGAAUUACUGGGCGUAAAGGGCGCGUAGGCGGCUUCGCUAGUCGGGCGUGAAAUGCCUGGGCUUAACCCGGGAAUUGCGUUCGAUACUUCGAGGCUAGAGUGUGGGAGAGGUUGGUGGAAUUCCCAGUGUAGAGGUGAAAUUCGUAGAUAUUGGGAAGAACACCGGUGGCGAAGGCGGCCAACUGGACCACAACUGACGCUGAGGCGCGAAAGCGUGGGGAGCAAACAGG